GAGGGUAUAGUUCAGUGGUAGAGUACAUGCUUAGAAUGCACAAGGUCCUGGGUUCAAUACCCAGUACCUCCA
rnacentral:tRNA from 1 species